rnacentral:lncRNA from 1 species
GUUCAGGCUUCUGAAAACAGGUCCUGAUUAAGAGCCAGCUCCAUGUCACGUCCUGGAGCUCAGGAAAGAGGGCCGAGCAGAGGGUCCUCCUUCCCGCAGCGCAUGGGCCAGCACAGGCGACCCUCGGCCUCAGCAGGGGACCCGCUUUGUGGGUUGUGCCACCUGGGACAGCCACACUGUGCCACAGGGUAGGUCCUGUGGGGGAAAGUUCUGCUGGAUAGAUGAUACUGCUGGGAAAGGAGACUGUGGGGAGGAUUCGUCUCAGUUCACUUCACCCAUCUGGAAGUUAAGCAUCUAAUCUUGUCUCUGUAAUCAGCAGGGUGAUGAGGAAGGUGAUCUCUCCCCUUGCCUUAAGUGUUCCUCUGGAAAGGGCUGGACCAUCUCUGGCAGCUUUGUGCCCCUCAACUGGCAAAGGGGCUGGCUGGCAGCACCCCUGCAUGGCUGAGCCCGGAGAGAAGGGUCCCGUCUUCACACCAUCACGACCAAGCAGCAAUGCUGGGAGGGUAGAGAAAACAGAAGUUUGUGGUCCUGCCUUCAGGAUGUAAGCCGCUCACAUUUUAAUAGAGGAAGCCCAGAUCACACACACACACUCAAACACGGCUUGUGCCAAGGCAGGCUGGGACUUGGUAUGUUGAUAAAUUCCAGCAAAAACAUUGAUGUUCAGCUGCAUCAACCAAAUAUUAUAUGGGUAGCUACAAAAAGCUAGGCAGAGACGUGACGCUUCCUCAGCCAAAGCUGGUGGUUUUCCCUCCUCUGGCCAGCUCAUGGGGAGGGCAGGGAGAGAAAGAGGAAGCAUAGCCUUGUAUACCCUUUUCAACUCCUUUUUGCUCUCCCUAGUGGCAUCGAACAUUUCCGUAGCUGCCAAGCUUUUAUCCACUCUGUAUGUGACAUUUCAUGCCAGCUACAUAAUGAAAUAAUUUGCAUAUUCACACAUAAUUUGCAUACAACCAUCUCCAACUUUUAAAAAAUUGUAUGGCUUUUGUGUGGGUGAAAGACCUCUAACAGAUAAUCCUAGGGGAAAAAGUUCACUAAUACUACGUUGGGAUGUCAGCAACACAGAGCUUUCCACACACCUGUGUCCUGCCUGUGUGCCCCGGCUCAGGCCUGGGGGACACCCCAUCAGCCCUUGCCUCAGCACGGGGCCACCAUGUGGUGCAAAGUGUGCAGAGCCUGCGGUCAGGAGGACUUGAGAACCGGCAGUGACAAUGCAUCGCGCGUCCCCUCUUCUGAUCACAGCUAUGUCUUGGUGUUACAGCAAGAGACUACAGUUUCUGCCUUGCAGUUGCAGGGUCAGGCAGAGACAUAAGCUGGGAAAUACUGAGCUUGGGCUUACCCAAACAGCCUUAUUCUAGUGUAUUGUUUCCGUAACAACAUGCUGUUUUCUCCUGUGUUGGACGACUAGCAGGAUUUGAAGCCGAGACGUUCAGCUCUGCAGAGCUGAGCUCCAUCAGGGAGUUUCAUAGGAGUUUCAGUCAAGUCAGGAACGUUGUCCUUACCUUGGACGCACCCAGAGAGCUGAGUUUUGGGCUCCCAAGGGUAACAAAG